rnacentral:rRNA from 1 species
AACGAACGCUGGCGGCAUGCCUAACACAUGCAAGUCGAACGAGACCUUCGGGUCUAGUGGCGCACGGGUGCGUAACGCGUGGGUAUCUGCCCUUGGGUUCGGAAUAACUCGCCGAAAGGCGUGCUAAUACCGGAUGAUGACGUAAGUCCAAAGAUUUAUCGCCCAAGGAUGAGCCCGCGUUGGAUUAGCUAGUUGGUGAGGUAAAGGCUCACCAAGGCGACGAUCCAUAGCUGGUCUGAGAGGAUGAUCAGCCACACUGGGACUGAGACACGGCCCAGACUCCUACGGGAGGCAGCAGUGGGGAAUAUUGGACAGUGGGCGAAAGCCUGAUCCAGCAAUGCCGCGUGAGUGAUGAAGGCCUUAGGGUUGUAAAGCUCUUUUACCCGGGAUGAUAAUGACCGUACCGGGAGAAUAAGCUCCGGCUAACUCCGUG